rnacentral:rRNA from 1 species
GACGAACGCUGGCGGCGUGCUUAACACAUGCAAGUCGAACGGUGAAGGGACCAGCUUGCUGGUUCUGGAUGAGUGGCGCACGGGUGAGUAACACGUGAGUAACCUGCCCCCUUCUUCUGGAUAACCGCAUGAAAGUGUGGCUAAUACGGGAUAUUCUGGGUCUGUCGCAUGGCGGGCCCGGGAAAGAUAUUGCUUCGGUGGGGGAUGGGCUCGCGGCCUAUGAGCUUGUGGGUGGGGUGAUGGCCUACCAGGGCGGGGACGGGUAGCCGGCCGAGGGGGGGGGGGGCUGAGAGGGGGCAGGGACACGGGCGGAACGUCUAAGGGAGGAAGCAGUGGGGGAUAUUGCACAAUGGGCGCAAGCCUGAUGCAGCGAAGCCGCGUGAGAGAUGGAGGCCUUCGGGUAGUACACCUUUUUGGCCAGUGAAGCAGGCCUGCUCCUUGUGGGUGGGUUGACGGUAGCUUGAUAAGAAGCGCCGGCUAACUACGUG